rnacentral:rRNA from 1 species
GACCUCGGAUCAGGUAGGGAUACCCGCUGAACUUAAGCAUAUCUA